rnacentral:rRNA from 1 species
UACGGGGGGAGCAAGCGUUGUUCGGAUUUACUGGGCGUAAAGGGCGCGUAGGCGGCCUCUGCAAGUCGACUGUGAAAUCUCCGGGCUUAACCCGGAAAGGUCAGCCGAUACUGCAGGGCUAGAGUGCAGAAGGGGCAACUGGAAUUCUCGGUGUAGCGGUGAAAUGCGUAGAUAUCGAGAGGAACACCUGCGGCGAAGGCGGGUUGCUGGGCUGACACUGACGCGGACAGCGCGAAAGCUAGGGGAGCGAACGGG